UGAUCGUAGUGUCACGUUAGCAGCAUCCUGCAGUAGUGUAAGGUCAACUAAAUUGAUGAAGAUUCCAUGGGACGUGUUGUCAUAGUAACAUCAACAACUGUCAGAAAACUGAAAGGUUUGUAUUUAUAUCAAUCAAGGGUAAGUAGUGCUAUACAUGCCUUUUUUGUAUUCGAAAUUUGAUAUCAAGUGCUUGCAGAGUACUCGCUGUCAUCUACAGGUGCGACCAAAGUAUAUAUUGAUUUGGAUAUCCCUGAAACAGCUGAGCUCCAAACGAGGUGCAAUUAUUUUUCCGCAAUAAUAUGUAUACUUACCUCAUGCGAAAAUAGGUAUUCCUUGGAAGAUGAUAUCAUAGAGGAAACAGAGCUGAAGCCCACUUGCAAGGAACAAUUCAAGUACAAAUGCUUUAUAACAGAAAGACACUAAGAGAAAUAACUGAAGUUGCAUAUGAAUCUGAAAAACAGGUUUAUGAUUAACUUUUAAAUUCUUUUUUUUCAUAUGUUUUAUGUGCUAAUUUAACCUACGAUGGACAGUAAAAGUUCUAUACUGCAGAAGCAACCAUUAAGUCAAUUAAUACAUCAGAUGAGUGGUACUACAUAGGAUGCGGCAAAUGUAACAAAAAACUACAAAAAGAAGGGAAUCACUUCUACUGUCCAAAAUGUGAGAAAGAACCUGAGAGGACAUGUCCAAGGUAAAUUUGAUAAUAUCUCAGUUUUAGGUAGUAACUUAUCCUCCACUAACCACAUGUGUCAUUUUGUUACUAGGUACAAACUUAAGCUAGAGAUAUGUGAUCAUACUGCAAUAACAACUUGCACCAUGUUUGAGACAGAAGCAAAAAAACUGAUUAAGCAAUCUGCAAGAUUCUUGAUAGAUAGGGAUGACUAUGAUAUCCAUGAGCAGGCAGAAAAAAUUCAGAAAAUAUGUGGGCAGAGAUUGAUUUUUUAGUUCAGACUGAAUGACUAUAAUUUCAAGUACGGUUACCAAGAUUACACUAUUCAUAGAAUAUUUUUCAUAGAUUCUGAAGAAGAUUCAUCAGUACAACAUGCUAAUGUUGAACAGGUAUCGUCUAUUUGUACUACGAUGCUCCAUAAUAUUUUGUAUAUGUGCAUGCCAUAUUUUACAAUGAAUGUUUAUGGAAACUAACUCAAUUUGUCAUGUUUUUGUAGAACCCUACGAAGGGCACUAAAAAGGCUAGGACUAGGAACACAUGUCGCGUUGUACAUUCUGAUGAAGAAUCAGAACAAGAUAGCCAGGAGAAAGAUGAAUGCAAAUUCAAGGAAUCUAGCCCCAAAAGAAAGCGUACAAUAAGUAUUAUUGAAGACGGAGAUUCGGAAAAAGAUGGAACUUUGAAUUAUUGAAAGAACAGCGUAAGGCUUACUGGUGUUGAUAAGGGAUCUAAGAAGAAAGGAAUUCAGAAUGAUAACCAUGAGCAAGUGAACAAAUUAUCACUUUCAAAAACUAUAAAGCAAGAACCAGAGGAUGAUGAACUCACUAUUGACCAGACUAAAAGGGGUAGGAGACGGAGCACAGUUCGUGCUGCACAUCGUGACGAUGAAUCAAAAGCUGAAGGUAGUCAGGAAAUAAACAAAACCAAAUCUAUGGAAUCAAGCCCCAAGAGGAAGCGUAUCAUAACACGCAAAUGCGCUGGUGUUGAUAGCAAACCAGUAAACAAUUACCAUGAGGAAAAAACAGAAAAGGAAGGUAAUCAGGAGCACAAUGAUUCAAGGCCUAGGACAAGGCUUAGUUGUGUCGGUUAAAAAUCACUAAACAAAGGCAUCCAGAAGUCUGGUGUAUUAAGGACUCGAAAGACAAGUCGCUUUAGUGGAGAUCCAAAUAAUUUAGGAUGUAGUACAAUAGAUGGGAGCAUCACAUUUGUAUUUAUAUGAACUUCGUCAUUGUUUAAGAUAUUUUUAAUAAA